UUUGGAGGGGGGGGGAAGGGCGUCCCGUUUCGUGAGUGUAUUUCGUUUCUUUAAGAGCUACCAGAAAGCAACUCACCCCCACCCCCAUAAAAAAAAAAAAAAUAAGCGAGUGGGGAAGAGCCAGCCCCACGCCGGUCCGCCUCCCGCCCGCGGCCCGGCCUCCCUCCCACCCGCCGUCUGGCUUGGCGUUCCUUCGCCCCGAGUUCUCAAUCCCCUGGAUCCCGGGCUCGCGGGGGCGCGAAGAGGAUCGAGGAAAGAGAAACCUCUGAUUUUCACUUGCAAGACGCUUGGCUGCGCUUGUCAUACCCUAAAAGGUGAUUUCAGUUCUCCGAUGCCAAAGAACCUUUUCUGCUAAUCAAAACACAGCUGCAGAGGCCCCGUGUGAUCUGCUAAUGGGCACCCCAACUCGAGGGUGUGGUCAGAGCAGCUCAGCUCAGAAGGACAAUGGACAGAUGCCCUCUUGGUAGACUGCUGCUCUCAAGCUCCCUUCACUCCUUGUCCUCCUGCAGAUGGACCUUACUCAAGCCUUUCAGACGAAACCCAAGGCAAACUGAGUUCCAGGUCAUGGCAGUGGCUCCGA